GCUGGAAUGAUGAUCGGCAACGCGGCAGCUGUGGAAGACGACGACGAACGCGGGAGCAGUGGCACGAGCGCAACACGAGCUCGAGCAAGAGCAGCUCU
rnacentral:lncRNA from 1 species